rnacentral:sRNA from 1 species
UCCUACAUGUUAUAAUAAUUAGGCAAACAAGUUUAUGGUGGUGUGCCAGCCUUCUUCAUCAGAAAGUAGGUGGUGCUUAUGUUGUUUUUUUUGCGUUGCCUGGAAAGGAUAAACGUGUGACUGUUUUCGAAAGUCUUACGCUUAUGAUUGCUUUUGCAGUCUUAAUCGUGACAAUCAUGAACAGUAA